rnacentral:rRNA from 1 species
AUUGAACGCUGGCGGCAUGCUUUACACAUGCAAGUCGAACGGCAGCGCGGGCUUCGGCCUGGCGGCGAGUGGCGAACGGGUGAGUAAUACAUCGGAACGUGCCCAGUAGUGGGGGAUAGCUCGGCGAAAGCCGGAUUAAUACCGCAUACGACCUGAGGGGGAGAGCGGGGGAUCUUCGGACCUCGCGCUAUUGGAGCGGCCGAUGGCAGAUUAGCUAGUUGGUGGGGUAAAGGCCGACCAAGGCGACGAUCUGUAGCUGGUCUGAGAGGACGACCAGAAACACGGGAACUGAGACACGGCCCAGAUUACUACGGGAGGUCGCAGUGGGGAAUUUUGAAAAAAGGGCGAAAGCCUGAUCCAGUAAUGCCGCGUGUGGGAUGAAGGCCUCCGGGUUGUAAAGUAGUUCUGGCGGGAACGAAAAGGACUGUGCCAAUACCACGGUUGGAUGACGGUACCCGAAGAAUAAGCACCGGCUAACUACGUG